CGACCUUUCAAAGACAUCGAUUAUGAUCCAUCAAAACCCUUAACCUUUACGGGCUAUUCUUUGCUAUUGAUCCCAUCAAAAUUUAUGUUUGCUUUUGCCAAACGUGAUCCGUUAGAUGGUGGGUUUUUUCACUGUAAAUUGGAUCAUCAUCGUUUUCCCGAGCAAUCAAAUUGUCCAUAAUCAUCCAAUUAUGCACCUUCCAUCUGCCACUUGCUCGAUGAACCUCUUGCUUCAUUAAAAUCUCCAGGGUUUUACACAAGUAACAAUACUUUGAUCCCAACAUACCACCAUACAUGAGACCCACCCAUCAUACAAUUGGAAAAACAAGCAUCAAAUUAGAAGCAUCACUGUGUUAUUAGAAAUCGACAAUUGCGCAUACUAACUGUCACGAACAAAAGAGAUUGUACCACACUCAAUUAACAACCCAGAAUCAACCAAAACACCUAAAAGGCCAUAUAGGUGCGAACCACCAUAAUUGUCUGUGGGGAGAGAGAGUCCCCAUAAGAUGGGUCUGCUAAAUAUCUAAUUGAAGUUGAUGGAAGUUAACUAGAAGUGUCAUUAGGAAGUUGUGUUUGCAUAUAUACAGUUUGAGAUGUCCUCUUGAGACGUGCAACCCGCCUACGAUGGCCAUGUCCCUGUCUGUGCUGCUUCCAUUCAUGAACUCCUCAAAAAACAUGAAACCCAUAGUACUCAUAUAUCUGUUGGAGAUAACGAUAAAGGAAGAGAGAGGAAAUAUGAAGGUGGGUUUUGUGUAGAAGAAGAAAAUAGUGAUGGUGGUUCUGGUAUUUCAGUGAAAGAAAGAGGUUUUCAGUUGGGUACAUUUUAUCGAUGGGCCUUCUAUUUGUGCUGAUAAAGUUUUUCUAAGAAUCUAAACCACUCGCUCCAUCGUAACACUGUUGUCCC
rnacentral:lncRNA from 1 species